CAUCCUCCAAGGCUAAAUACUCCUGACUGACCGAUAGUGAACCAGUACCGUGAGGGAAAGGCGAAAAGAACCCCGGCGAGGGGAGUGAAAAAGAACCUGAAACCGUGUACGUACAAGCAGUGGGAGCACAGGUUUACCUGUGUGACUGCGUACCUUUUGUAUAAUGGGUCAGCGACUUAUAUUCUGUAGCAAGGUUAACCGAAUAGGGGAGCCGGAGGGAAACCGAGUCUUAA
rnacentral:rRNA from 3 species